GUUUUUUAUGUGCAUUUGAAGAAAACUAUUGCUUUUUAAUCGGUUUUGGAACAUAAUUCCCGUUUUUAUGAAGGCCGAGACUUCGUCUCGCUACUUCUUCAUCGCUUCUCGGCCUUUUGGCACAGACCAAAGUUGGUAUUUCUUCGAAAGGCCGAGUUUGCUAAUUACAGUUUCUCACUGUGCUUUUUUGUAUUUUUCAGUGUUUAAUUGUGCGGAAUCCUGGUACUGGUGUUGUUGUUCUUCUGGCUGGUCAGUGGCUUGUAAGUACUUUUUGUGUUCUUAGGACUAAGUUGCCUGCGGGACCUCCGGCAGUUUUAUUGCUGACGGGUUCGUUCUAAACGCGCGGCCACUAUCCCUAUGGGUGAACCCAUCGUUACGAUUUUGCCACUAACGUUAUCGUCGCUGUAUCUGCAAGGGAUUACCUAUCUGGUCUUCAUUGGUGACUGUAUUUACCUGCAUUAUCCUAGUGUUGGCUAG
rnacentral:lncRNA from 1 species